UGUUGAGCUUGACUCUAGUCUGACUUUGUGAAAUGACUUACGAGGUAUAGCCUAGGUGGGAGAGAAAUCGAUCCUGUAAAACCACUACUCGUAUAGCCGUUUUACUUAUUCCGUUGUAAAGGGACUGGCUUUACCCAGUUCUAGCACUAAGGGCGCGGUCACACGUGCCUGAACCUUUGCGGGAGACAAGGUCAGUUGGGGAGUUUGGCUGGGGUGGUACAUCUGUUAAACAGUAACGCAGGUGUCCUACGGUGAGCUCAAUGAGAACGGAAAUCUCAUUUAGACUAAAAGGGGAAAAGCUCACUUGAUUUUGAUUUUCAGUAACAAUACA
rnacentral:rRNA from 1 species